GUCCUGGGGAUAUAACCAAUGAUCUAGGUUAGUGUUUCUUGGCCCUGGGGAUAUAACCUAUGAUCUAGGUUAGUGUUUCUGGGCCCUGGGGAUAUAACUAAUGAUCUAGGUUAGUGUUUCUUGGCCCUGGGGAUAUAACCAAUGAUCUAGGUUAGUGUUUCUUGGCCCUGGGGAUACAACCAAUGAUCUAGGUUAGUGUUUCUUGGCCCUGGGGAUAUAACCAAUGAUCUAGGUUAGUGUUUCUGGGUCCUGGGGAUAUAACCAAUGAUCUAGGUUAGUGUUUCUGGGCCCUGGGGAUAUAACUAAUGAUCUAGGUUAGUGUUUCUUGGGUCCUGAGGAUAUAACCAAUGAUCUAGCUUAGUGUUUCUGGGCCCUGGGGAUAUAACUAAUGAUCUAGGUUAGUGUUUCUUGGUCCUGGGGAUAUAACCAAUGAUCUAGGUUAGUGUUUCUGGGUCCUGGGGAUAUAACCAAUGAUCUAGGUUAGUGUUUCUGGGUCCUGGGGAUAUAACCAAUGAUCUAGGUUAGUGUUUCUGGGUCCUGGGGAUAUAACCAAUGAUCUAGGUUAGUGUUUCUGGGUCCUGGGGAUAUAACCAAUGAUCUAGGUUAGUGUUUCUGGGUCCUGGGGAUAUAACCAAUGAUCUAGGUUAGUGUUUCUUGGUCCUGGGGAUAUAACCAAUGAUCUAGGUUAGUGUUUCUGGGUCCUGGGGAUAUAACCAAUGAUCUAGGUUAGUGUUUCUGGGUCCUGGGGAUAUAACCAAUGAUCUAGGUUAGUGUUUCUUGGCCCUGGGGAUAUAACCAAUGAUCUAGGUUAGUGUUUUUGGGUCCUGGGGAUAUAACCAAUGAUCUAGGUUAGUGUUUCUUGGUCCUGGGGAUAUAACCAAUGAUCUAGGUUAGUGUUUCUGGGUCCUGGGGAUAUAACCAAUGAUCUAGGUUAGUGUUUCUGGGUCCUGGGGAUAUAACCAAUGAUCUAGGUUAGUGUUUCUGGGUCCUGGGGAUAUAACCAAUGAUCUAGGUUAGUGUUUCUGGGUCCUGGGGAUAUAACUAAUGAUCUAGGUUAGUGUUUCUGGGUCCUGGGGAUAUAACCAAUGAUCUAGGUUAGUGUUUCUGGGUCCUGGGGAUAUAACUAAUGAUCUAGGUUAGUGUUUCUGGGUCCUGGGGAUAUAACUAAUGAUCUAGGUUAGUGUUUCUUGGUCCUGGGGAUAUAACUAAUGAUCUAGGUUAU